rnacentral:rRNA from 1 species
GACGAACGCUGGCGGCGUGCUUAACACAUGCAAGUCGAACGGAAAGGCCCUGCUUUUGUGGGGUGCUCGAGUGGCGAACGGGUGAGUAACACGUGAGUAACCUGCCCUUGACUUUGGGAUAACUUCAGGAAACUGGGUCUAAUACCGGAUAGGAUCUCCUGCUGCAUGGUGGGGGUUGGAAAGUUUCGGCGGUUGGGGAUGGACUCGCGGCUUAUCAGCUUGUUGGUGGGGUAGUGGCUUACCAAGGCUUUGACGGGUAGCCGGCCUGAGAGGGUGACCGGCCACAUUGGGACUGAGAUACGGCACAGACUCCUACGGGAGGCAGCAGUGGGGAAUAUUGCACAAUGGGCGGAAGCCUGAUGCAGCAACGCCGCGUGCGGGAUGACGGCCUUCGGGUUGUAAACCGCUUUCGCCUGUGACGAAGCGUGAGUGACGGUAAUGGGUAAAGAAGCACCGGCUAACUACGUG